GGCAGGGUAGCUCAGCUGGUUAGAGCGCACGACUCAUAAUCGUGAGGUCGGGAGUUCAAGUCUCCCCCCUGCUACCA
rnacentral:tRNA from 1 species